rnacentral:rRNA from 1 species
AUCCAGCAAUGCCGCGUGUGUGAAGAAGGCCUUCGGGUUGUAAAGCACUUUUGUCCGGAAAGAAAACCUCCGCCCUAAUAUGGUGGGGGGAUGACGGUACCGGAAGAAUAAGCACCGGCUAACUACGUGCCAGCAGCCGCGGUAAUACGUAGGGUGCAAGCGUUAAUCGGAAUUACUGGGCGUAAAGCGUGCGCAGGCGGUCCGCUAAGACAGAUGUGAAAUCCCCGGGCUUAACCUGGGAACUGCAUUUGUGACUGGCGGGCUAGAGUAUGGCAGAGGGGGGUAGAAUUCCACGUGUAGCAGUGAAAUGCGUAGAGAUGUGGAGGAAUACCGAUGGCGAAGGCAGCCCCCUGGGCCAAUACUGACGCUCAUGCACGAAAGCGUGGGGAGCAAACAGGAUUAGAUACCCUG